CAGAGCGUAGCUAAGUAGUAUAGCAUCUCCCUUACACCGAGAAGGCACCCGUGCGAGCCGGGUCGCACUGA
rnacentral:tRNA from 1 species